CCUACGGGCGGCAGCAGUGGGGAAUAUUGGACAAUGGGCGAAAGCCUGAUCCAGCCAUGCCGCGUGUGUGAAGAAGGCCUUCGGGUUGUAAAGCACUUUCAGUGGGGAAGAAAGCCUUGGGGCUAAUACCCUCGAGGAAGGACAUCACCCACAGAAGAAGCACCGGCUAACUCCGUGCCAGCAGCCGCGGUAAUACGGAGGGGGCGAGCGUUAAUCGGAAUUACUGGGCGUAAAGCGCGCGUAGGCGGUCUGAUAAGCCGGUUGUGAAAGCCCCGGGCUCAACCUGGGAACGGCAUCCGGAACUGUCAGGCUAGAGUGCAGGAGAGGAAGGUAGAAUUCCCGGUGUAGCGGUGAAAUGCGUAGAGAUCGGGAGGAAUACCAGUGGCGAAGGCGGCCUUCUGGACUGACACUGACGCUGAGGUGCGAAAGCGUGGGUAGCAAACAGGAUUAGAUACCCUGGUAGUC
rnacentral:rRNA from 1 species